GAGUAAGUAAGUAUCUAUGAACAUCUACAACAGCUAUCAUAGUAAGCUAUAGAACAUGCUACUAGGAAAGCAAGUAAGCUAAUAUGAACAAUGAAUAGCUACUAUGAAUAUCAAUCAUGGGUAAGACUCAAUGGGUAACCCAAUCUCCAAGUGAACACAAGGCCCACAAGCAAGGCUCACAUGUAAACCUCCGAGGGAUGCCUAGCUGGACUAUCCCCGAGUACGCCUGCGGAUAACAAGCGGCUAUCCGAGCAGCAAGCGGGCUGCCUCUCUAGUGACCAACUCCGGAGCGCACAACUUGAGGGGAGCGACCCCACCAAGCGCAGACAGGCAAUGUGAGCAUGAUCAACUCACGAGCAACAACAACCCCUUUGAGGGUAAUAUUAGCAUAGAUCAAUAAGUUCUUGUACCCAAUCUCAUAGUGUCUCAACCACACUAAUAAGAUCAUCUCAAGUAAACAUCAAACAUGUGCCACUCAAUCAUAGUUUUCUAACUAGAUGCCACUCGUCAUUUAGACUCAUCAACAAUGUUAGCUCUUUAACAUUAUAAGUUCUAAUCAUCUCAUAUAGGGUUGAAUUUCAUCAUUAAACUCUAUCAUUUAAUCUCAUACAUACUAGUUUAUAAAUCAUUCAAUCAACAUAUCUAUAUCUACUAGCAUGCAAAUUGAAGCAAUAUAAUUAAUCUUUAACCCUAUAAGAACAUGCACAAUAUGCAACUUGAUCAUAUUUAAACUUAGACAUAAUGAGUAGCCCGAUGACUUCGGGAUGGCACUCCCCCACCUUAGGUGAUGCCGAAAACACUCCGAGA
rnacentral:lncRNA from 1 species